AACGCACGAGACCUGCGGACCUGCGGAAGGAUCAUUACCGAGUUAUCCAACUCCCAACCCCUGUGAAUUAUACCUUUAAUUGUUGCUUCGGCGGGACUUCGCGCCCGCCGGGGACCCAAACCUUCUGAAUUUUUUAAUAAGUAUCCUCUGAGUGGUUAAAAAAAUGAAUCAAAACUUUUAACAAUGGAUCUCU
rnacentral:misc_RNA from 1 species